UGUAUCAGCAAACUUUCUGUUUGUCUUGCAUUCUCCAUAGGGCUGAGCCACCUGAGGACAGCACCCUGAGUCCUCCCAGACUCCCAUUCUCCCCAGCAGAGCCAGGGGCCUGGCAUGUAAGAGGUGCUCAGUCACUGGGUCCAGCCACUCGAAGCAGAAGCCAAGGACUUGGUGCCUAGACCUUUGGUUGGGAAAGUAAAGAGUGCCAGAAGCUUCCUGAGGCCAGGACACUUUCUUCCAUCUCCCACUGCCCAAGAGGUUCAAGGAUGACAUCUCCCAUGACUGAAACUCACACACUGGGCUCCAACUUUUGUGAUCAACACUCGAAUACACAAAACUGAUUUCACCUGUGGCCUGUGUGUGACAAUGCUGUCCCCAAGGGCAGGGAGACCUCACUUCCCUCCUUGACUUCAGUGCCUGCCUGAAGACUGCCCAGGACAUAUGAGAGGAGGCUCAUUCUGUCUCCAGAACAUUCCUCAAGAAUGACAGAAAGAGUGCUCCAUCAGAAGAAGAAAGAAAAGGGAGAAGAAAUCCUGGCUCGUUCAUUCAACAAAUAUUUCAUUCAUUUAUUCAUUCAGUUGGUUGGUCGGUCAGUCAGUCAACAAACAUUUACUAUAUACCUUCUCUGUGCCAACCCUGUGGUCGGCCCUGAGUAGGGAAAGAGGCAGACAAGGUCCUGCCUUCAUGGGGUUGACAUUUCUAUAAGAUGAGGGUGAGGGAUACCGUGAACAAGUAAACAAAAAAGAAGAAAGAUCAUUGUGGAGGGACUCACACUAUGAAGAAAAUAGCACAAGAGAUCGGUCUAGAGGUGGGUACUAUGGGGCUGCAUUAGAAAUGGCAGAGGCCUCCGAGCCUCUGGUGGCUGUCUAUAAAAGGACAGUAGUGACAAUUACCUGAGCCGGUGGCUGUGGGCCUCAGGUGGGGCAAUGAAUUCGCCGCCCUGCACAGAGCGGCCUGUGUGACCCCCAUUAUCAGAGGAAAUAGCAAGGCCUGGUUUGAAGGCAGGUCAUGAUCAGCUGCAUGCAGCAUAGCCGUGGGGUCCAGGGGAGGAUGAGGGGACAAUGCCAACUACAGCACAAACCCAGGACCCACACUCAUGUAUGGACCUGCCCUUCCCCAUUCUGCCCCCGCCUCCCCACUCCCACCCUGCCUACCAGAACUCGGCCUGGCUCAGUCUGAGCUAUCCUCUCUCUAAAAACUAAACACUGAAGAGUCUUCUGGUGAGGCGUCCCAGACCACACAGGGCCUGGUACCCAGUGCCCCCACACCUAGCGGCUUUCACCACCCGACCCUGUGCUUUGAAGUGCUCCCAGCUGAUCAGACCUCGCCUGUCCACGAACCCCGGUGCUGGAUCCCACCACACAGCAAG